rnacentral:lncRNA from 1 species
AGUUGUUGAGGUGGCACGCAUGCGCGAUGGAAGAGCACGACGUUGCUUUCCCGCGCUUAUCCUUUUCACCGGCCGUGUUACAUCGGCAGAAGCAGAGCUCAAGCAAAUCAGUGCCGCCGCCGGCCAUUUCACCCACGCCGUUGUCUCCCCUCCCGUUUCACCCAUCAAGCAGCUUCCAUAACCCCUCUAUGACACCCCCAACCCAACCGAAGUUCACCUCCCUGUCGGCAAGCCAGUAAGCGUCGCCAUACUGGUCCGCCCGCCGCCACCACCAUCCGCCGGUGAGCUUCCUGUGCCGUCCUUUUUUCUUCAAUUUGUGGAUCCUAUUCGCGCUGCGGGGUCGGAUAGGAGCCAUAGGGGGAGGUCAAGGACCCGGUUGUGCUGUCAUCUGGUGAAGCCACGGCCGGCAGCCGGUCAAGCCGCCGCCGCCGUGGAGGGGCCAUCUCCGGCCACCUCCCGGAGCGCCGACGCCGCCCACGGGAGUGUCGCGGCCUGGGGGUUCUUCCCCGGCCCGACCCCGUCGCCGGCGAGCCGCCAGCCGGCGAGCCCCCACCGGUCCGGCGCGCCUCUGUUCUUGGCCAGGGGAGGAAGAUGCCCCUGACCAAGGAGGCCCGCGUGUUAGCCGCUAGGAGGAGGGGGCAGGCGCAAAAGGAUAAGAGCCAGUCGCCGUCAUGGGCCAAGGGAAAAACGCCGGCCCAGCUGGCCCGCGCAGCAUAGAAAAAAAGGAGUGGGCGCUUGUUGGACCGGUGACCUUCGAAGAAGAAAGAGAGAGAGCAGGUGGGCCAUUUUUCAUUCGGAAGGAACCGAGCCGUGCGGCCCAAGAGGAAAUAGAAGAAAGAAAAGAGUGGGCCAGCGAAUGGUUGAGAAGGAGAAAGUUGGGCCGUGGGCCCCACGCGUUAGUGAAGAAAAGAGGGAAAAAGUAGGAGGCCGGGUGGGCCAUAGGUGGAAGUGAUAGUGGGUAGAAGCAAGACGGGUGAGAAAAAGUUUGGGCCGGGGGUUUUAUUUAAACUUUAGGUUUUCUUUUAUUAGAUAAAUAAAUUAAAUAGGGUUUUCACCAUUUAAAAUUCCAGGAAAUUCUAGAAGUACCCAAACUUAGUGAAACCAAUUUUAUUAGGAUUGUUUUAUUUUCCUUUAUGCAUUAAAAUUCUUAAACCCUAGGAAAAAUAAUAAAAAUUUAGGUAUUUAUUUAAUGCCUUUUUAUCUAAGGUAUUUAAAUAAAUGCUUAAACUUUAUUAAAUGUAUAAAAAUUUGAAAAAUGCUUUAUUAUCCACAAAUCAUUAUUAAUUCAUAGGAAUUAGGUUUUUGAGAUUAGAAAAUUAUUAUAAUGCUUUUAAAAAUAAAUAAAAAGGUCUAAGGUAGGUUUAGUAAAGGGAAUAGAAUGGUGGGCUAAUCUUUUCGGGUUUUUGUGUGUUGGCUUGCAACUUUAUCAUGAUAAAUUGUCUAGUCCUUGUUGGCUUGCAAAUUUAUCAUGAAGGAAAGUUGUAUAGUCUUGUAUUCAAAAGUUUGCAUCUCUAACCCUUGCAUAUACUAAAUCGUAGACGUCACAACUCCUGGAGUGGGAAUUCAUGGAUUUCAGCUGGAGAUGGACAGCAUUCGCAGUGCCUCUUUCAAUAAACAAGUUUUCCGAAGAACUAACCUUGUUGCUCCCAGGCAAGCCCCGGUGCAUUUAUACCUAUCUAUUUUAAGAGUCGUUAUUUCAUGUGACUAGUUAUAGGUUAUUUGUUUAUUGCAUGCACUAAGUCUAGGAGUUGGAUGAAACCUAUUCUUGUGUAUGAUCAUGCCUUGAUUUAAGGACAUCUUUGCCACUUGUUCAAAUCCUAGAAACUACCCAAGUCUAGAAUUGCUUACUUGCUUACAUGAUUGGGUUACCAACCUUAAGGAAAACUCUUAAGUCAUACAUGUUGCUUAUGAAGGAUAGUCUGGAAUAUGAAUACGGACAGAAGCUAGAGAUGUAGUUCUGUCUGCUAGAUUAAUCUGGUUAAGGUCCGAUUCGUGUCUUAACCGCUGAUCAAGUGAUAACAUCUGAUCACUUACUGGGUAUGGGACCAGUAAAGCCCAGUAGGUUAGUAAAUUCUAUGAUCAGGAAUGCUUCGUACCCGCAUUUGACGUGCUGGAGAUUGGCAGGGGUGUAGCCUGAAACUCACAUGGAGAUCAGGCCAGACGUGGGGUCCCAUGUGGGGGUGCAUCCCUGGGUCCGGGUAGUUGUAUUCCUAAUCAUUGACUUUGCUAAUCGAGAGGUUGUGAGAUACGACCGGAACAGUCGUAUAAUGCUGGUGAUCGGGGUACUCUCCUGCAGGAUGUAAUUAGAUCCGGAUCGCCGCAAUUCUCGGUUAUGAAUGCACUUGAUCACUGUUGAGCAUCGUAGUAUCAACUCAUGCGAUAUAAAAUCUCCUGUUGUCAAGUAAUGUAUGACUUAACAGCUGUGGUUGCUUUUACUUCUGUUAUCAUUUAGAAUGGUUAGGUAAUAACUUAACCCAAAUGAAAGAUAAAACUAAGGUAUCACUUGUAGUAAGCUUUUCGGCAAAAAUUGCAUUAGCCAAGUACACCAAAACGCUAAGCAUACACUUCCAAAGAAAGCUAUUAUAUUGGUUAGACGGGUAAGACUUGCUGAGUACUUCGUACUCAGGGGAUCCCUUGUUGUUGUUUUCAGAAAGCCAGCAGGGACUCACCGAAGAGGAAGCCCCGAAGACCUAGGGUAUCUUAUGAGUCUCAUGAUACUCUAGAAUGAAACUUAAAUGUUUGUUUUUCUUUCAGACUGGUUUUAAAUUCUUAGAACCACACUGAUCUGCAUGAUUAAGUUGUUUCAAACUAUGGUUGUAAUAUAUCGUACCUUUGUUAUGUCUUUAAAAAUGUAAUAUUUGUUGAUAUUAUCCCAUCGCGGAUAUUAUCCUGAUGUAUGGCUAUGAGACACGUCGUGGAUCCUUCGAGGAGUCCUAGGGACCCUCGACGGACUACCGGACUUAUGCUGUUUUAGGUGCGUUUCGGAUAAUUGCUGUUCCGAUAGCAAUUA